GAGCCACCCACCCCUUGUCCUCUUCAUAGUAUCAUCCCAUGAGUUUCCUAGAAGAAACGUAGAAUAAUGUAGGGAGUUUGUUUCUUUCUUUCUUUCUUUCCCUUUUCUCUGCUGUUUCUGGCUAGGAAGAAUUUGAGGUUUCCCUGGUGCCUGCCUUAGUUUUGGCUUUCAAGCUUCAAGUUGCACAAUCUGCACUUUCAACGUCUUUCUAUCGUAUAUGCAUCGUGUACGAGGUCAUUAACUCAUGCCCUAGAACCAUGAGCGGAAACGGAGAUGGGAGGAAGGUUGAUGCCAAAGCCAAGGAGUUUGGCUUCGACAAAUUAAGAGAGAGAAUAUCAAGGCAGGCACGUAUACAAAUGGACCUAUGGGGCGUAGCUCCAAGCUACUGAUUUCCGAUUCCAAUUCCAUCCUAGAGUGCAAAGCGCUCGACACGACACAGAUUCUACUUCUUUCAUCGGAGUUCCCCUUCAAGACUUCAGUUUUCCAGCCCAGACCGUAAAAGCUUAGAUUGCCCUUUGCCAAAUGAAAAAGUUAAAUAUGUUAUGUGUAUUGUGAUUUUGCGUCAAUGAAGAGUUCCCCCUUGAGCUUCAGAAUUUUCUUUAUUUUUUCAUCUUCUGGGCCAUGCUUUAUGCAAUUAAUUCUACGUUGAAUAAAUUAAGGAAAGAGGAAGACAUAAAUUUUUGGUCUA